GGUACGAGUGAGAAUGCAGGCAUGAGUAGCGAAAGCAGGGUGAGAAACCCUGCCGCCGGAUGACCAAGGGUUCCAGGGCUAGGCUCAUCCGCCCUGGGUAAGUCGGGACCUAAGGCGAGGCCGACAGGCGUAGUCGAUGGACAACGGGUUGAUAUUCCCGUACCCGCGAAGAAGCGCCCAUGCUGAACCCUGCUGCGCUAACCGGGUCAACCAACACUUUCGGGUGCUGGGGCCCCCGGGAACCUGGCAGGUAGUAGGUAAGCGAUGGGGUGACGCAGGAGGGUAGCUGAUCCCGGCCGGUGGUAGUGCCGGGGUAAGCGUGUAGGCCGCAGCAUAGGCAAAUCCGUGCUGCACGAGGCUGAGACGUGAUGCCGAGCCGUAACAGGCGAAGUCAGUGAUCCCAUGCUGCCAAGAAAAGCCUCUAGCGAGCUUCGAGCGGCCCGUACCCCAAACCGACACAGGUGGUCAGGUAGAGAAUACCGAGGCGAUCGGGCGAACUGUGGUUAAGGAACUCGGCAAAUUGCCCCCGUAACUUCGGGAGAAGGGGGGCCAACGCUGGUGACACCCCUCGCGGGUCGAGCUGGCGGUGGCCGCAGAGAGCAGGGGGAAGCGACUGUUUACUAAAAACACAGGUCCAUGCUAAGUCGCAAGACGACGUAUAUGGACUGACGCCUGCCCGGUGCUGGAACGUUAAGGGGACCUGUUAGUCCGUGAGGGCGAAGCGGAGAACUUAAGCGCCAGUAAACGGCGGUGGUAACUAUAACCAUCCUAAGGUAGCGAAAUUCCUUGUCGGGUAAGUUCCGACCUGCACGAAUGGCGUAACGACUUCCCCACUGUCUCAACCACAGGCCCGGCGAAAUUGCACUACGAGUAAAGAUGCUCGUUACGCGCGGCAGGACGGAAAGACCCCGGGACCUUUACUACAGCUUGACAUUGGUAUCCGGAUCAACUUGUGUAGCAUAGGUGGGAGACUAUGAAGCUCGGACGCCAGUCCGGGUGGAGUCAACGUUGAAAUACCACUCUGGUUGUUCUAGGUAUCUAACGUCGGACCCUGAUCGGGUUCACGGACAGUGUCUGGUGGGUAGUUUAACUGGGGCGGUUGCCUCCUAAAAUGUAACGGAGGCGCCCAAAGGUUCCCUCAGCCUGGUCGGCAACCAGGUGGUGAGUGCAAGUACACAAGGGAGCUUGACUGUGAGACUGACAGGUCGAACAGGGACGAAAGUCGGGACUAGUGAUCCGGCGCUUGCGAGUGGAAGCGGUGCCGCUCAACGGAUAAAAGGUACCCCGGGGAUAACAGGCUGAUCUUGCCCAAGAGUCCA
rnacentral:rRNA from 1 species